rnacentral:misc_RNA from 1 species
AAGUCGUAACAAGGUUUCCGUAGGUGAACCUGCGGAAGGAUCAUUAACACGUAUCCAAACGUUAAAACCCCCCCCGUGAACCUUCAUCCUGCUCUUGUAACCCGCGAAGCUUGCAAUCUCUGGUAAAUCAUAGCCCGGAAAGUAGUUUGAUUCAGAGACCUCUGGCCCGUGCGAACAUUGGAACAGUUACAAUCGACUGCGGUAGUUCUAUAGGCAUUGUUUCCCCAAGCAGUCAGUGUCUGAAAGUGUCAUUGAUUAGACCGUACACUCGGGCAGGAGCUAUGCCAAAGGGUCCCCAUGCCCCCUUAUAACCCCACAGUUUAAUGUGAAGCUCAAUGUAAUACAUUGGGUAAAAAAACCGAACAACUGUUAACAAUGGAUAUCUUGGUUCUC